UUGCGGUUAAAAAGCUCGUAGUUGGAUUUCUGUCUGGGAUGGUCGGUCCGCACUUUGUGCGUGCAUCUGAUGCGUCCUCGGCAUCCUUCUGAAGGACAUUGUACUUUAUUGUAUGAUGGAUUUCAGAACUUUUACUUUGAGGAAAUUAGAGUGUUCACAGCAAGCAAGCGCUUUGAAUACAUUAGCAUGGAAUAAUAAUAUAGGACCUUCAGUACUAUUUUGUUGGUUUCUAGAGCUGAGGUAAUGAUUAAUAGGGACAGUUGGGGGCAUUCGUAUUAACGCGUCAGAGGUGGAAUUCUUGGAUUGCGUUACGACGAACUACUGCGAAAGCAUUUGCCAAGGAUGUUUUCAUUGAUCAAGAACGAAAGUAUGGGGAUCGAAGACGAUUAGAUACCGUCGUAGUCUAUACCAUAAACUAUGCCGACUAGAGAUUGGAGGUCGUUUUUUUAUGACUCCUUCAGCACCUUAU
rnacentral:rRNA from 1 species